AGCGUUUUGCGGUCGCGAAGACCUCUGCCAGAGUCUGGCUGGGAGUAAUAGUUAGCUCGCGAUAUAAGUCAUGUUCUGCUGGAAGACCUUUCUUGAAUGCAAAAGAUGCAAUUUGGUCAUCACAUCCUACGAUAUUGGUCUUUUCUGCUUUGAACUUCUUGAUGUAAUCUCGAAGGGAUUCAUCGGGCUUCUUGCACAGGUUGAACAGAUGGUCAGGGUCCAAUAAGAAGUGUAUUGUUUAGUGAAGACGUAAGUAAGCUCCUUGAAGCUGCUGAUCGACCCGGAUGGCAGGGUAUGUAACCAAUCCUGAGUUGCUCCUGGCAAAGUCAUUGCAAACACCUUGUACAUUAGCACGUCUUCGGCUUUGUAGAGGAUCAUAAGGCUCUUGAAAUGCUUCAAAUGACUUUCGGGAUCGGAAUCGCCUUUGAAGCAUGUGAAAGAGGGCGUUGAUAAUCAUUUCGGGGGAGCAGCGUGCUCAAUUUUGUAGGUGAAAGGUGAGGAGUUUGCUCGGUCUACCUCAACGCGUAGUGUAUCUUCGAAAUUUCGGCCAAUCUUUAAGUCUCAAAGUCGGUUAUUCACAAGCUUCUCAACAUCUUCUGCACACAUGGCUAGUCGAUCAUGUUGAUAACCAUCGAGAUUUAGGCGAUGCUGAUUGACUUCCUCAUUAGUUUGCGAGGGUCAACCUUCUAGGUUGCGCUGCCUAGGCAACGUGUUGGUGGACUGCGCUUGCGAGGGAUUUUCUGUAACUUGGCAACGAGAGUUGGUUCUUCGAGAGCUAGUAGCGGAGCUCUUUUCUUCACAGUCCUCAUUGUGAUGAUUGUCGAGUUGACCUCCCUAGGGGCCUAGCCUUUCGUGAAUAUUUCUUUGUGAGCGGGCAGCAGAGCGCGUCUCUUCACAAUCCUCGUCGCGAUGGCCGUCAAGUUGACCUUCUUGGGAGCCUAGCCUUUCAUGAACGUUUUCCUGCGAACCUAAGCGAGUGUGGAUGUCAGAUCUUGGGCCCAGCCUAUCAUGCACGUUGGUCCUUAAAUUCAAUCUGGAUGGGAGACCUCGUCUGCUUUGAGUGUGGCUUGCAGACACUUGCGACAUGUCGACAAGCUGAUCUCGUUGUUGUGCAUUUCCUUGUCUGCUUACUCCUGCUCGGCCUGCUUGGUUCCUAUCGAACUACCUAUC
rnacentral:lncRNA from 1 species